CCCUUAGAUGUUCUGGGCCGCACGCGCGCUACACUGAUGCAUUCAACGAGCAUUUGCUUGGCCGAGAGGUCAGGCUAAUCUUUGAACGUGCAUCGUGCUGGGGAUAGAUGAUUGCAAUUAUUCAUCUUCAACGAGGAAUUCCUAGUAAACGCAAGUCAUCAGCUUGCAUUGAUUACGUCCCUGCCCUUUGUACACACCGCCCGUCGCACCUACCGAUUGAAUGGUCCGGUGAAAUCCUCGGAUCGAGCCGUGGGGCAACUCCGGUUCGAGAAGUUGAUUAAACCUUACCAUUUAGAGGAAGGUGAAGUCGUAACA
rnacentral:rRNA from 1 species